UCAAUUUUUGCUUAUUUAUUGGUUUUGUUUUUAAGUUAUUGUAUUAAAAAUAAUUGUAUAAUUAAAUGUUUUAGUAAUUUUUAAUGAAAAAAUAAUAUUAAUAAUAGUUGAUUAGUAUUGUGAAAGAUAGUUGAAAUAUUUUGAAAAAUUUUUGUAUAAAAAGAAAUUUUAAUUUAUUGUACCUUGUGUAUCAGGGUCUAUUAAAUAAUUAAUAUAUAUAUAUAUUAAUCUCGAUUUUAUAAGAGUUAAUAGUUUAUUAAAGUUAAUGUAUCAAAAUUAUUUUAAAUAAAUUGUUAGAAAUGAAAUGUUAUUCGUUUAUAAAGGUAUCUAGUUUUUUUAGAAAUAAAUUUAAUUUACAAAUUUUUAAUUUUUUAGUUAUUUAUUUAAUUGAAAAAUUUAUUUAUUUGAAUAUUUUAAGGGAUAAGCUUUAAAAUAAAUUAUUAAAAAUUAAUAGUGAAAGUGGUAUAAAAUGUAUGCUUAGAAUUAGCAAUCAUUGUAAAGUUUGUUAUAAAUUAUUUUAUAAAUUAGUAUUAUUUAUUAUAUUUUAAUUUAUUUAUAAAAAUUUUUUUAUUAAUUAGGGAUAAAAAGAAAUAAUGAUAGAAUUAGUAUAUUUUUUUGUUUAUGUAAUUUUAUAUGAUAAGUUUAUAUAAAGAACUCGGCAAAAUUUUUACUCGCCUGUUUAACAAAAACAUGUCUUUUUGAGUUAUAUUUAAAGUCUGACCUGCCCACUGAAAUUGUUUAAAUGGCCGCAGUAUUUUAACUGUGCAAAGGUAGCAUAAUCAUUAGUCUUUUAAUUGAAGGCUGGUAUGAAUGGUUGGACGAAGUAUAAGCUGUUUCAUAUAAAUUUAUAGUAGAAUUUUAUAUUUUAGUUAAAAAGCUAAAAUUUAGUUAAAAGACGAGAAGACCCUAUAAAUCUUUAUAUUUUAUGUUGUUUUAAUUUUUUAGAUUUAUUUUAUUUUUAUAGUUUAGAAUAUUUUGUUGGGGUGAUAUUAAAAUUUAAUGAACUUUUAAUUAUUUAGAAUCAUUAAUUUAUGUUUUAUUGAUCCGUUAAUAGUGAUUAUAAGAUCAAGUUACUUUAGGGAUAACAGCGUAAUUUUUUUGGAGAGUUCAUAUCGAUAAAAAGGGUUGCGACCUCGAUGUUGGAUUAAGAAAUAUUUUUAGGUGUAGUUGCUUAAAUAUUAAGUCUGUUCGACUUUUAAAUUCUUACAUGAUCUGAGUUCAGACCGGCGUAAGCCAGGUUGGUUUCUAUCUUUAAUAUAUUAUAAUACUUUAGUACGAAAGGACCAAGUAUUGGAAUAAUAAUAUUUUAAAUUAGAGAAUUUAAUUAAUAUUUU
rnacentral:rRNA from 1 species